rnacentral:misc_RNA from 1 species
AAGUCGUAACAAGGUCUCCGUUGGUGAACCAGCGGAGGGAUCAUUACCGAGUUCUACAAAAACUCCCAACCCUUUGUGAACCUUACCGUCGUUGCCUCGGCGCCGAGCGGCGGCUACCCGGGAAGCUACCCUGGAGACCACCUACCCUGUAGGUGGCUACCCUGGAGCUACCCUGUAGUUGCGCUUUACGCUCCGCCGGAGGACCACCAAACUCUUGUUUUUUGAUGGUGUAUCUCUGAAAACAAAAACAAAAUAAGUUAAAACUUUCAACAACGGAUCUCUUGGUUCUG